AAUCAGACAGCAGAUACGUAAAGAAAGAGAAGAACGCCUGAAACCACUCGUUGUCUCUGUUAAGAGGAACUGUGAGAAUAAUAUACGGCCAUUGGCGAUAUUGAAUGGGGUCCACAGGGUAUCUGUUUCAUCUGCAUCAAGUUGCGUUUAUCUGCCUCUCUUCUUCAUCUCAUCUGCCACAAUAUAAAAUAUCAUCUCAUGGAACAAUUUUGUUCGACCCAGACCUAUGCAGCAGCUGCCAGUAAUCCGGCGCUUUGCCGUCGCAGCGGCAGGUCCAAAGCAGGUAGUGGCUCGGAAACUAAAACGCAAGAUAUCUGGAGAUUCUGGCAAUACACUUAAACGGGCAAUGCGGAUCUGAGACGCUUGCGUGAAACUUGCAUUCAGAAUUAUCCUGGUGAAGAAAGCAUUUUGUACCUGACAUCAAGAAAAUUAAUUCUGAAUGAACCAAAAUGACUUACUUUGGUUACAAAGCACUUGUAGAAUGUGGUACUUGACUAUGACUAUGUAUGUUAAUAUAAGUACAACUGUGACAAUAAAAUGAUUAAUUAUAUAUA